GAUGAACGCUGGCGGCGUGCCUCAAACAUGCAAGUCGAGCGGGGCUAUGUAAUAUCGCAAGGUAGAACAUAGCCUAGCGGCGAACGGGUGAGUAACACGUGGGUAACCUGCCUGGAAGACAGGGAUAACGAUUCGAAAGGGUCGCUAAUACCUGAUAAUAUCCUUUCAUCGCAUGGUGAUAGGAAGAAAGGGGAAACCCGCUUUCAGAUGGGCCCCGCGUCCCAUCAGCUAGUUGGUAAGGUAAAGGCUUACCAAGGCGACGACGGGUAGCCGGUCUGAGAGGAUGUACGGCCACACUGGGACUGAGAUACGGCCCAGACUCCUACGGGAGGCAGCAGUUGGGAAUCUUAGGCAAUGGACGAAAGUCUGACCUAGCGACGCCGCGUGAGGGAAGAAGGCCUUCGGUUGUAACCUACUGUCAUGGGGAAGAAGGAAGUGACGGUACCCAACGAGGAAGCCCUGCUAACUACGUCGCCAGACAGCCGCGGUAAAGUAAGUCUACUAUCGUAGCGGCGG
rnacentral:rRNA from 1 species